rnacentral:rRNA from 1 species
AAUGAACGCUGGCGGCAGGCCUAACACAUGCAAGUCGAACGGAUCCUUCGGGAUUAGUGGCGGACGGGUGAGUAACGCGUGGGAACAUACCCUUUGGUACGGAAUAGCCUCGGGAAACUGGGAGUAAUACCGUAUGUGGUCGAGAGACGAAAGAUUUAUCGCCAAAGGAUUGGCCCGCGUUGGAUUAGGUAGUUGGUGGGGUAAUGGCCUACCAAGCCGACGAUCCAUAGCUGGUUUGAGAGGAUGAUCAGCCACACUGGGGACUGAGACACGGCCCAGACUCCUACGGGAGGCAGCAGUGGGGAAUCUUAGACAAUGGGGGAAACCCUGAUCUAGCCAUGCCGCGUGAUCGAUGAAGGCCUUAGGGUUGUAAAGAUCAUUCAGGUGGGAAGAUAAUGACUGUACCACCAGAAGAAGCCCCGGCUAACUCCGUGCCAGCCGCCGCAGUAAGAC